AACGAACGCUGGCGGCAGGCCUAACACAUGCAAGUCGAGCGCGCCCUUCGGGGUGAGCGGCGGACGGGUGAGUAACGCGUGGGAACGUGCCCUUUUCUACGGAAUAGCCUCGGGAAACUGAGAGUAAUACCGUAUACGCCCUUUGGGGGAAAGAUUUAUCGGAAAAGGAUCCGCCCGCGUUGGAUUAGGUAGUUGGUGGGGUAAUGGCCUACCAAGCCGACGAUCCAUAGCUGGUGUGAGAGGAUGAUCAGCCACACUGGGACUGAGACACGGCCCAGACUCCAGCGGGAGGCAGCAGUGGGGAAUCUUAGACAAUGGGCGCAACCCUGAUCUAGCCAUGCCGCGUGAGUGAUGAAGGCCUUAGGGUUGUAAAGCUCUUUCAGCUGGGAAGAUAAUGACGGUACCAGCAGAAGAAGCCCCGGCUAACUCCGUG
rnacentral:rRNA from 1 species